rnacentral:rRNA from 1 species
UACGAAGGGGGGCGAGCGUUUGUUCGGAUUUACUGGGCGUAAAGGGCGCGUAGGCGGCGGGUCAAGUCGAGUGUGAAAGCCCCGGGCUCAACCUGGGAGGUGCGCUCGAGACUGGUCUGCUGAGAGUUCGGGAGAGGAGCGUUGGAAUUCCCAGUGUAGAGGUAGAAAUUGUAGAUAUUGGGAAGAACACCGGUGGCGAAGGCGGCGCUCUGGACCGAGACUGACGCUGAGGCGCGAAAGCGUGGGGAGCAAACAGG